AACGAACGCUGGCGGCAGGCCUAACACAUGCAAGUCGAACGAACCGUUUACGGUGAGUGGCGCACGGGUGAGUAACACGUGGGAAUAUACAUUUCGGUAAGGAAUAAAGUAGAGACAUUUACGCCAAUACCUUAUAAUGACUACGGUCCAAAGAUUUAUCGCCGAAGGAUUAGCCCGCGUUAGAUUAGGUAGUUGGUAGGGUAAUGGCCUACCAAGCCUACGAUCUAUAGCUGGUCUUAGAGGAUGAUCGGCCACACUGGAACUGAGACACGGUCCAGACUCCUACGGGAGGCAGCAUUGAGGAAUAUUGCGCAAUGGGGGAAACCCUGACGCAGCCAUGCCGCGUGAGUGACGAAGGCCUUAGGGUUGUAAAGCUCUUUCAGAUGUAAAGAUAAUGACGGUAACAUCAGAAGAAGCUCCGGCUAAAUUCGUGCCAGCCGCCGCCGUAA
rnacentral:rRNA from 1 species